AAUUAAUUAGAAACAACACAACCAAGGAAUGAACAUGUUUUCUAUAUAAAACCAGAGGAGAGCAGUGGAGAUGAACCUUCUGAUGAGGAGAAUGUGAUGUUUGAAGAGUUUUGCCUGAAAAUCUCAAAGUAUUCCGUUUGGACAAUCCCUGAACCAAAACACAUUCAAGGUGUUGCAUCAGCCAAUGAGGAACGAGGUAUGGUUGAGAGGAAUGGAUGUUACUGUAAUUCAUGGCAGAAACAUACAGCCGACCGCUCCCUUAUCAGGAGCAUCGAGUUCAGACUCCCUGCACCACAUGGGUGUAACAACACGGAGAUCAUGUAUGUAUAUGUGUGUGUGUGUGUGUAUGUGUGUGUGAUCUGUAUAAAACAUGGUGUCAACGGACAAUGGCCAGUUGAAAAGUCAGGAUCUGUCACCCAUUGACCGUUGCUGAUAUUCUCUCCUAGUGAGACACUGGUGGAGGGCACAAAGGUGUGUGUGAAUGACUCUUCAACAAGUUACUUCACAUCACUGUUUGGGUGAGUUCAUGACUAAGAAAUGUCACAAUAUCAC
ensembl:lncRNA